rnacentral:lncRNA from 10 species
UGAGUAUUUGUAAGUACAGAAUCUGAGAUUAGCUUUGCCCAUGGCUUUCCACACAUUGAUAUUUGAUGGGACCUGACCCUUAAAUAAUCCCAAGUCAUAGAAAAAGAAUUUUGUGGAAUAGUUGCACAGAGCAUUUGCUUACUCAGUUCUGUUGCCCAGGAGCCCAAACGGUAGAGGGAGGAGAAUGUGAAUUCUGGAAUUAGGAAGACUUGAGCUUGAUUUCACCUUCUGCCAUUGAACAACUGCUGAGGAAUGGAGAAAGCUCACAAAAGAAGAGAAGGGACAUGCUUCACUCAGGUAGGCAAUAUUGCUUCUUUAACCCCAGGUGCAGCUAUAGAGGCUUCCAAGUAUAUUAAGGUAAGAAGGCAUUUGAGAAUGGAGUUUACGCUGCAGGUACCCAUGUCUUCCCGCAUACUCCGGAGACUAGAUUUGGGUUUGAAUCGAUUCUGUGGCUUUCUUUUACAAAUUUCACUCCAGCCUAACAUUGUCUCAACAUUGUCCUCGCCCACUACCAAUAAUUUCCAC